rnacentral:rRNA from 1 species
UACAGAGGUCCCGAGCGUUGUUCGGAUUCAUUGGGCGUAAAGGGUGCGUAGGCGGCGGGGCAAGUCUGGAUGUGAAAUCCCGGGGCUCAACCCCGGAACUGCAUUGGAUACUGCCUUGCUUGAGUACUGGAGAGGGAACUGGAAUUUACGGUGUAGCAGUGAAAUGCGUAGAGAUCGUAAGGAAGGCCAGUGGCGAAGGCGAGUUCCUGGACAGUGACUGACGGCUGAGGCACGAAGGCCAGGGGAGCAAACGGG